rnacentral:rRNA from 1 species
CACGAAGUUAGCCGGAGCUUAUAAAUAGUACCGUCAUCGUUUGAAUUAUUUGUUCAAACUUAUUCUUCCUAUUCUUGCGAAGUUUACACACCGAAAUGCUUCAUCCUUCACGCGGCGUUGCUGGGUCAGGCUUGCGCCCAUUGCCCAAAAUUCCCGACUGCUGCCUCCCGUAGGAGUCUGACCCGUAUGUCAGUGUCAGUGUGGCCGACCGCCCUCUCAGGCCGGCUACAGAUCGCAGGCUUGGUGAGCCAUUACCUCACCAACUACCUAAUCUGCCGCGAGCUUCUCUUCAGGCGCGAGGUCUUGCGACUCCCCCGCUUUAACAUACGCCAUUACAGCGCAAGCAUUAUGCGGUAAUUAACAACCGUUUCGGUUGGUACUUCCCCACCGAAAGGCAAAUUCUACACGUGUUACUCACCGU